rnacentral:rRNA from 1 species
GCUCAGUAACACGUGGAUAAUCUGCCCUAUGGUGGAGGAUAACCCCGGGAAACUGGGGAUAAUACUCCAUAAGUCAGGAGUACUGGAAUGUCUCCUAACUGAAAGUUUCGGCGCCAUAGGAUGAAUCUGCGGCCGAUUAGGUAGUUGUUGGGGUAACGGCCCAACAAGCCCGUAAUCGGUACGGGUUGUGGGAGCAAGAGCCCGGAGAUGGAAUCUGAGACACGAUUCCAGGCCCUACGGGGCGCAGCAGGCGCGAAAACUUUACAAUGCAGGAAACUGUGAUAAGGGAACCCCGAGUGCCCGUACACGCGGGCUGUCCCGGUGUUUAAAACACAUCGGAAGAAAGGGCCGGGCAAGACCGGUGCCAGCCGCCGCGGUAAUACCGGCGGCUCGAGUGGUGACCACUUUUAUUGGGCUUAAAGCGUUCGUAGCUUGAUUUUUAAGUCUCUUGGGAAAUCUCACGGCUUAACUGUGAGGCGUCUAAGAGAUACUGGGAAUCUAGGGACCGGGAGAGGUAAGAGGUACUUCAGGGGUAGAAGUGAAAUUCUGUAAUCCUUGAGGGACCACCGAUGGCGAAGGCAUCUUACCAGAACGGCUUCGACAGUGAGGAACGAAAGCUGGGGGAGCGAACGGGAUUAGAUACCCCGGUAGUCCCAGCCGUAAACUAUGCGCGUUAGGUGUGCCUGUAACUACGAGUUACCGGGGUGCCGAAGUGAAAACGUGAAACGUGCCGCCUGGGAAGUACGGUCGCAAGGCUGAAACUUAAAGGAAUUGGCGGGGGAGCACCACAACGGGUGGAGCCUGCGGUUUAAUUGGACUCAACGCCGGGCAGCUCACCGGAUAGGACAGCGGAAUGAUAGCCGGGCUGAAGACCUUGCUUGACCAGCUGAGAGGAGGUGCAUGGCCGUCGUCAGUUCGUACUGUGAAGCAUCCUGUUUAGUCAGGCAACGAGCGAGACCCACGCCAACAGUUGCUAGCAUGUUCUCCGGAAUGAUGAGGACACUGUUGGGACCGCCUCUGCUAAAGAGGAGAAGGAGUGGACGACGGU